UCUGAAGUGGUGUUUUAAAAAGGUAAGGAUAAAAACUGUCUUCGGCUAAACUUAAGGGAUGUGAUUGUAAUUGUUACAAAUAAUUUUGGUACAAAAACUAGCGGCCACCAUCGAUCACGAGAUGCGCACGUGCAACUUCCACCAUUUAUUUACCGAUAAUUGCCUGUCCUGAAUUAGGGUUAGGCGUUUUUUUCCAUCUUUCUCUCUCGAUUCUUCAAAUUCAAGCACUAACCCUAACCCUAACUACCAGCCAUGUCUUCCAAGCAAGGUGGAAAAGCCAAGCCAUUGAAGCAACCAAAGGCUGGCAAGAAGGAAUACGACGAGACUGAUUUGGCCAACAUUCAGAAAAAGAAGGACGAGGAAAAGGCACUCAAGGAGCUCAAAGCCAAGGCAGCACAGAAAGGAGCUCUUGGAGGUUCCGGUCUCAAGAAGAGCGGAAAAAAAUGAGGGUUCUGAAAACCCAAAUCAGAAUAGAAUAUAUGAUUCAUGCUAUGUGAUUAUAGAUAAUACUAUGUUGACAUGUUUUCUCAAGUGUGAUGGGCUGUGACAUCUUUGCUUAGUGUGACAAGUCUAUGUUCGUGCUAAAUGCUACUGAACUUCGACUUAAUGUCAUUUUGUGACACUCAAUAAACCUUUUGUACUCUCCCCUUGUGCCAA